rnacentral:miRNA from 1 species
CAUUUUUUGCCCCUUUUUCAAAAAUGAAAAAAUUGGCUAAAAAUGGACGAAAAGUUACGGCUAUAGCCUUAACUUCUCGUCCAUUUUAUUCACUUUUUAAUUUUUGAAAAAGGGGCAAAAAAAU